CUUGUGUUGCUAGCGCCGGGAUGGAGGAAUGAAAUAUCUCCUGAUUUCCUUGCCCUUUAUUCCCCUUGCUGUUCAUGUUUAUUGGCAACGUGGAGGGAAGGAAAGGGGUUACAGAGUCUGUUGGUGAGUAGACAUGCAUAGAUUUGCACCAGGAAGCUUAGAAGCCAUUUUGUUCCUCCUAACUACAUCUUAAACAGGCAGCAGGUGCUGGGAUAUAACCUCACAUCCUGUAGGCCCUGCUGGCAAAAAUCCUUGCACCGGCCCUGCGCUGCCUGUCAUGUGAAGGUGACGGAAC